rnacentral:rRNA from 1 species
AUGAACGCUAGCUACAGGCUAACACAUGCAAGUCGAGGGGCAGCAGGAUUGUGCUGCACAGAUUGCUGGCGACCGGCGCACGGGUGAGUAACGCGUAUCCAACCUUCCCCAUAGUAGAGGAUAGCCCGGCGAAAGUCGGAUUAAUACUCUAUGUUGUACAACGAGGACAUCUGAAUUGUACCAAAGAUUUAUCGCUAUGGGAUGGGGAUGCGUCUGAUUAGGUAGUCGGCGGGGUAACGGCCCACCGAGCCGACGAUCAGUAGGGGUUCUGAGAGGAAGGUCCCCCACAUUGGUACUGAGACACGGACCAAACUCCUACGGGAGGCAGCAGUGAGGAAUAUUGGUCAAUGGGCGCGAGCCUGAACCAGCCAAGUAGCGUGCAGGAUGACUGCCCUAUGGGUUGUAAACUGCUUUUAUGCGGGAAUAAAGUCAGGUACGCGUACCUGUUUGUAUGUACCGCAUGAAUAAGGACCGGCUAAUUCCGUGCCAGCAGCAGC